AAGAGGACGAGAAGGAGAAAGAAAAAGAGGAUGAGAAGGAGAAAGAGAAAUACAACGGCGGUUUCCCGUCGAGCCUCCGUUGACGGUGCUUGUUGCCGGCGCCGCGUCUAGGUAAGUUUACAACUUUUUUUUUUGGUUUUCGUUUUUGUUUUUUUAAUUACUUUCAAAUUUGACUUUUAGACCACCACAACCGCAGCCUCCGGCCUCCUCCCUUCCCUCGCCGUGGCUGCUUGUUGUUGCCGGUGCCGCGUCUAGGUCAGUUUUCCCCACUUUUAUUUAUUUUUGUUUAAUAAUAAACCCUUAUUUAUUUAAUUUAUUUUUUUAAUAUUUUGUAGGAUUUGUACAAUUAGAUGGUUUAAUUGUCAAAAAGAAGUGCAGAUCUAAAGGUGGUCAUCAUGGGAGGAGGAAAUAAAGGAGAAUCGUCCAAGAGGAGAAAGACUAAGGGGAAAUCUCAGGUUGUACGUGAUGACGAGGAUGAGUCAAUGGAGGAAGAGGAGGCACAUGAUUUGGGGGCCUCUCAAGAAAUCAUCAAUCGGAGACAGAUUCAUAGGCAUGUACAAAGGCAACAGGAGCAAGAGCAACAGGAGCUACAGGACCCGCAACCUAAUGACUUGCUGGAGUUGGACCCUUCCACACUUUGGU